UACGUAGGGUGCAAGCGUUGUCCGGAAUUAUUGGGCGUAAAGAGCUCGUAGGCGGUUUGUCGCGUCUGCUGUGAAAACGCGAGGCUCAACCUCGCGCCUGCAGUGGGUACGGGCAGACUGGAGUGCGGUAGGGGAGAUUGGAAUUCCUGGUGUAGCGGUGGAAUGCGCAGAUAUCAGGAGGAACACCGGUGGCGAAGGCGGGACUCUGGGCCGAUACUGACGCUGAGGAGCGAAAGCGUGGGGAGCAAACAGG
rnacentral:rRNA from 1 species